UAAAUGGCACGUCUGUGUUUUUUUUAAAUCACAACGUCUUUCGACAUUCGAGCGCGUACUAUGUAAAACUUAAAGUGAAAUUUACCAUUUAUUUUGACAUAAACUAUUGUGAAUAUUGCUUACCCAGUAUAAUAAUAAACUAUGUAUAUUUUGGUAUUUACCAAUACAGUUAAACAUUUUUAAUUUCAUAAUAGUUUUGAAAAUUUGCAUUGGAACUUUCAAUUUGCAUAAAAUAACAAUAUACUAUAUAAAUAAGGCUCACGGGGAGGUUCUUCUCCCAUACCCCUCUCCCCC